UGUGAAGCAAGCCUGAAAUCCUUAUUCGUAUCACCAAGGCGAAGCUGUUUCAACUGUCACAGGAGCCGCUUUCCCACACCUUAUCACUUCAUUACAGUUCCAGAAGAAAUAGGCAAAGCAUGGUAGCCAGUGGCCGGAGCAGAAAACUGAGAGAUCACACCUGCAGCCACAAACAGGAAGCAGAGAGAGUUCACUGGAAAUGGGGCAAGGCUAGACACCCUCAAAGCCUGUCCCCUCCUCCUGACAUACUUCCUCCAAUGAGGCUCCUCUUCCUAAAGGUUCCAUAACCUUCCUGAACAGCACCACCAACCAAGAGCCAAGUGUUCAUAUACCUGAGACUGUGGGAGACAUUUCUCAUCCAAACCACCCCAGGAGAAGAAGACUCAUAUAACUUCAUUAGCAACUUUGUAACAAGAGCCCCUAGUUAGCAUGCUUGUUCUAUGUCAACAUGUGAUAUGAUGCAGGAAGAACACUCUAGCCAGACCUUGGGCACAUGUGGUACCAAGCUCUUCAACUUCCCAGUCUAUAGAACCACCAGUCAAAUAAACUCUUCUUUGUAAAUUACCCAGCCUUGGGCGUUUUGCUACAGCAACAGAAAAUAAACUAAAGAGAUCUUUGUUUCCA